GACGAACGCUGGCGGCGUGCCUAAUACAUGCAAGUAGAACGCUGAAGGAGGAGCUUGCUUCUCUGGAUGAGUUGCGAACGGGUGAGUAACGCGUAGGUAACCUGCCUGGUAGCGGGGGAUAACUAUUGGAAACGAUAGCUAAUACCGCAUAAUGUUGACUAUUGCAUGAUAGUCAGUUGAAAGGUGCAACUGCACCACUACCAGAUGGACCUGCGUUGUAUUAGCUAGUUGGUGGGGUAACGGCUCACCAAGGCGACGAUACAUAGCCGACCUGAGAGGGUGAUCGGCCACACUGGGACUGAGACACGGCCCAGACUCCUACGGGAGGCAGCAGUAGGGAAUCUUCGGCAAUGGACGGAAGUCUGACCGAGCAACGCCGCGUGAGUGAAGAAGGUUUUCGGAUCGUAAAAGCUCUGUUGUAAGAGAAGAACGAGUGUGAGAGUGGAAAGUUCACACUGUGACGGUAUC
rnacentral:rRNA from 1 species